GGGUUCCUGUGGGAUCUGUAGGAUCAGCCCCCGGGUUCCUGUGGGAUCUGUAGGAUCACCUCCCGGGUCCCUGCGGGAUCUGUGGGAUCAGCCCCCAGGUUCCUGAGGGCUCUGUGGGAUCAGCCCCUGGGUUCCUGAGGGCUCUGUAGGAUCCGUAGGAUCAGCCCCUGGGUUCCUGAGGGAUCUGUAGGAUCAGCCCCCGGGUCCCUGUGGGCUCUGUGGGAUCAGCCCCUGGGUUCCUGAGGGCUCUGUGGGAUCUGUGGGAUCAGCCCCCAGGUUCCUGAGGGCUCUGUGGGAUCUGUAGGAUCAGCCCCUGGGUCCCUGCGGGAUCUGUGGGAUCAGCCCCUGGGUUCCUGAGGGCUCUGUGGGCUCUGUGGGAUCAGCCCCCAGGUUCCUGAGGGCUCUGUGGGAUCUGUAGGAUCAGCCCCCGGGUCCCUGUGGGCUCUGUGGGAUCAGCCCCUGGGUUCCUGAGGGCUCUGUAGGAUCUGUGGGAUCAGCCCCUGGGUUCCUGAGGGCUCUGUGGGAUCCGUAGGAUCAGCCCCCAGGUCCCUGCGGGCUCUCCAGGGCCCUGGGCUGGCAGCAGCUGCCCUCAGCCUGUCCCUGGCACAGCAGGACACUCGAGGUGUGUGCUGCCAUUUUAAUGUGGUUUUAUCCAAGCAGCCACGUCCUUCCCUUCACAGUUUUUAUUUUCUGAACUUCAUGAAACUCCACAAACCUCGGUUUUCACACCCUCAGACUGUUUUGUGCCACGUUUGUUGGUGGAAACAUUAAAAACUGGACCUGCCAUUUUUAUUUUAAUUUUUUUCCUUAAACCCUCUGUGCUUCUGUCUGUUGCUCACCUCUUUCAGCUGACAAGCUUUGCAUCCUUCUUGUUUUUCGGGGUUAUAUUUUUUUGUCACAGAACUCCCCAUUUUGUAACCAGCCUAUUGAAGGUAACAUAAGGCAGCUAAUUAAUGAGUUGGGAUUUCUGGUGGCAGCAGAUUUCAAAUCCUGUCUGGGAUUUUGGAGAGUUCCUACACUAAAUAUGAUCAGGAAGGAGCCUGAAUCCAAUUCAGGUGGGGAAUGGAAUAUUCCUCCAGUAGAUGAGUGAUUGUCCUGUGUGAUUCCCUGGAUUUUAUUGAGGCUGGUAAAUUCCUUUACCUUAUAAAAAUUGAAGUUCUCUAACGUUCUUGACUCUCAUGGAACUACUGUUGCAGUUACAAUAAAGAUGAUGUUGUUUCAUUGUAAAUCUAUUUUUAUUUUUUUACAAUGGUUUGAUAUUUUUUUUUUUUAAUUUUUUUUUUUCCAGAACAGCAUCAGGCUGCAGGGAAAUCUCAGUCUUGAAAAAGAAAAUGUAAUCCCCUCUCUUCUCCCACUGCUGGAUUGCAGGGAGAGCAGAAAUUCCCUCAACUUAUUGGGUAAUACUGGGAAAAUAAACGGCCACAUUUUAAAAAUAAAAACCAUUUGGGGGUAGCAAACACUUGUGCAAUUCUCUGGUUCCCAGAGCUGUUCCCCUGCAGUCCAGAUGGUUUCAAUGGGUUCUUAAGGUUUUCCUUUAAUUCAGGUGUACAAGGAGAAUUCCAGGGGAUCUGGUUCUUCACCUGCCACACCUGAUGUUUUCUGAAGUGUAUUUUUUGCAUAUCACCUCAAAUAUAUUUUUGGUUGGUUCAUUUUUUUAUUUUUUAAGAAAAGUUCAGGCAGUAAAACAUCAUUUUUCUGUUAUUGCAGGCAGUUGUUGGAUUGUUUUAUCCUGGCAGCUUUGGACCUUUAUUCCACAGAACUCUUCUGCAUUCUCACAUGUUCAUUUCUGGUGGGCUGGAGGCUGCCUGAUGCUCCUUUCUGAGUGUCCCAAACACCAUGAAAAUCCCAGAUUUUCAGGAUUUUGUAAGUCUUUCUAACCCUGUUUUGCUGAUUGGUACAAACACUGAGCCCUAAUGGUCUCUGUUAGAAAUACAGCAAUUUCACAUUUUUGCAGACAGGAGAAAAUUGUCAAGGUGAAUAUUUCUAUGAUUUUGAAUAUUUUUAUUUUCACAUACAUAAUUUUUCAGCAGCAGCAGACUUCACCUUUUUAAAUGCCCAUUGGAAUUAAUUUGUAUUAAAAGAUUCUGGAAGGAAAGCUGGGAAAAUGCCUUUCUUUAGGAACACCAAGAGAUUUUUAUGGAGCAGAAAGUUUCAUUCACAGGAGGAGGCUUUAAAAAGAUUCUCUGUCUCACAGUUGUAGUCCUGGAGCCUUUGCAGAGAGGUAAAAUGUAUUUAUUCCAAAAUUCAGUCAGGCUCCAGCUCUGCCCUGACCUUGCUUUUAAAAUUUCAGAACUUCCUUAAAUCCACACCAGCACCUCCAGCUCUAGUUCCUGCCAACAUCCUGCCUUGAACUUUUUAAAAUCAGUCAAAAUCUGCAAUUUCAGCUGGGAUUUUGUGCUAAAAAUGGUUUGGUUCAGUUCUGGGGGCGGGGGGUCAGCAGGAGAAUGACAAGUGUGCUGAGUUAAGGGGGUCAGGAGUGGCUUAAAAAUGGGGCAGCUGAAGAGUUUUUGAUCAGUUUUAAUUUCCUCAAGGCAGAGAGAGUGAGGGGAGAGAAGCAUCACCACCAGGGCAGCGCAAAAAUCUGAAAUCCGUUUUUUGGGGGUUUUUUCCCUUUUUUAUCCUUUUUUCCCCCUUUUUUUUGGAAUAUUCUCUCCACGGAUAACCACAAAGGUACAAGAGCCACUGAGGCAGCCAGGUGAGAGAGGGAGGGAAGGAAUUUGUACCAUGCUGGAUGCUUUUGGAGCUGUAUGAAAAAAACAACAAAAAAAAAACAUGGUGCUUUGCUUUUCUGUCCUCCUGUUUGUGAAGUGUUUAUUUUUCUAACAGAUCCUAGCGUUGAACACACGGUUCCUAAAAGCUACAGAGUGAUCCAGGAGUUUUGGUGUUUGAUGGAGAAUUCAUUCAUCUGUUGGAGGGGGCAGGAGGUGGAGCAGUUUUGGAGGGACGGAGUGGUUGGUGGCAUUUAGGAUGUGUGAUUUUUGGGGAGGCUGCUGUCACAGUUUUCUGUGGAAAUGAGAAAUUCUGUGUGUAUCUGACCCCACAGAGCAUUUCCCCUCAGCUUGGAGUGUUCCCCUGCAGUUUUAGGAGGCUUCAGUCCCAGUGCUGACGGAACAGAAGCGACACUUGAACACUUUGUUCUGCUCGUCCAGGAGGAUUUUUGGGCUUUUUUGAGCCCAUCAGAGCAGGGAGUGCCCUUCCCCAAGCCCAGCCUAGCUCUGAAUCAAACCCCAAAUUCCCACUUGGGUAGCUGAAUGUCUUUUCCUGGAACUCUUGCUGUCAAACCAUGAAUAUUUGUGGGGUGCAGCCCCUGCCCGGUGCUGCUCCCCCCGCCAGCCCCGACCGUGCCCAGCAUGCUCAGUGUGACUGCAAAGCACCCGUGUGCAAACGCUCUGUACAGUGGGGCCAGGGUUUUUUAUAUAUAUAUUUUGGGAUGUGGUGGGUGGGGGGGAGGAGGGUGGGUGUGGAGAUCCUGAGAUCAGCUUAAGCCAGACUUAAAUGUGUGUAAAAAAAAAAAAACAACCCAAAAUCUUCGGUGUGUGAGUGCGCGAGUGGGAGUGUCUGACAUCCCAUUCCCUUUGUGUUCUCAGCAUUUGUGAGGUUUUAUUUCUUUUUUUCUUAUUUCCCCUCCCCCCCCACUCCCCUUCCUGCAGAAGCAAUUGUUACAAAAAAAAAAUUAAUUGUAAAUAAGAGCUACGUAAUUUUUUUUGUUGUUGUUUGCCAUCGUGUCACAGCAAACCCUGAGUGAGCAGUGUGAAGGUGGAGGAGGAGACUGGCAGCAUUUUCUGGUAUGCAAUGAAUAUUUUGUCUCGAGUAUCUGCAAUCCCGUGGUGAGCUUUUGGAAGAAAAAAAAAAACAAGGAAAAAUAAAAAUUCAGGCUCUUUGCAGUUCCCCUCCUUGUCCUUUUUAAUUUUUAUUAUUUUUUGUUUCAUUUCAAAAGCAGGAAGAAGGGGCAGCUGCAAACAGUCAUCGCUGUGGGGUUAGGAGCUCUUGACAACCCUGAGAUCUAGCAUGGUACUAGGAGUUAAGUCUGAAUGUAACAUUAAUGCUUUAUUUAAAAUUAAAAACAAAAACACUUUGGUUUUGUUUCUUUUUUUUUUUUUUUUUUUUAAGGGGUUGAAGUGAACAUGACUGUUGACCAUGUUCGUGAAUUUCUAGAUGCAAACAUUCAUUGGUAGAAUUGUGUGAUGGUCUUUUGUGCUAAUUAAUUUGACAUAUUCCGAGUCUCUGUAUGUACCUGCAAAGAAAGAAAAACAAAAAAAAAUAACAAAAACCCUGCUUUGCUUUGAUUGAAAAAGGGUUCCUGGGACUGCAUACCUGCUCCUGAGCUCUGUUUUAAGUAUGUGUAUCCUUCGCUUGUAUUUUGUAUUAAAAAAAAGAACCACGAGGAAAAAAAAAAAUGAACCCUUUAUUGUUCAGCAUGUUGGAAUUGUGUCCCCUCUUUUAUUUUUCUCCUUUUUGGAAUAUAUUAAGCAACUCAUUCUUCUGUAUCUUUUAUUUUCUUUUGUAAACUUUUUGGUUUUGUUUAAAAAUGGCUUUAUAAAAGGGCUUUUAUAACCCAUGAA